AAAAAGGGGCAAGAGCGAAAACA
rnacentral:piRNA from 1 species